GGUCCCACCUGACCCCAUGCCGAACUCAGAAGUGAAACGCCGUAGCGCCGAUGGUAGUGUGGGGUCUCCCCAUGUGAGAGUAGGGAACUGCCAGGC
rnacentral:rRNA from 9 species